GUGGCAUAGGAACAGUUUUAAAGAAUUCUCUCUCUGCAUGCUGUCGAUUGGUCCCUGGAAUGGCCUUUUCCAGCUUUGAAGCUCAGUUUCUUUACUUGGACUGGAAUGGUCCUGUAUGUCUAGUGGUGAUUUACCGUCCUCCGCACUCCACUAAGGAUUUUAUACAGCAUUUCACUGAACUGAUCGGCAAUAAUGCCACAAAUUACGAUCGAUUUCUAUUGGUGGGCGACUUUAAUAUCCAUGUCUGCUGUCCGUCUAACCCCUUAUCACAUGAGUUUCUUAAUAUUAUCGAUGCUUUUAAUCUAUCCCAGUGGAUCAGUGACCCUACUCAUAUUCAGGGACAUACAUUGGAUCUUGUACUCUCAUAUGGGCUUGAUGUGACUGAUAUUGUGCUCUCAGAUUUUAUGAUCUCUGACCAUAAGCCUAUAUUAUUCACACUGUCUCUUCCAGAGCUCUCUUAUUUUUCAAAUACAACUGUAAGUCUUUCUCGCUUCUACUCUCCACAGUUUAGCACAAAUUUCAACUUGUGUUUUGCUGAAUGUUGCUCACAGUUGCACUUGGAUCAACCGUUAUCUGACUUGGAUGCUGAUCAACAUCGUAGCCUCUUGAACUCUGCCUUGCUUAAGGCAGCAAAUGCAACUGCUCCCCUUAAGCCUCACGAGCAAAAAACAAAAUCUGUACUGUGGAAAAUCUCUUAUACCCGUCUCCUGAGACAAAACUGUAGAAAGGCAGAACGUAAAUGGAAACAAGACAGGCUGCAUAUCUCUCUUCAAAUGUUUAGAGACUCUCUUACUUCUUACCAGACUGCAGCUAAUUCUGCAAAAGCUGCAUACUUUUCUAACCUAAUUGAAACUAAUCACUCUAAAUCUAAGGUUUUAUUUUCAAUUAUUCAAUCUGUUACCAAUCCUUCUGUUAACACCUUGUCUGUUGCCUCUGAUGCUCUCUGUGAAAGCUUCUUGAGAUAUUUUAGUGACAAAAUUACUAACUUAAGACUUGGUGCCUGCCC
ensembl:lncRNA